rnacentral:rRNA from 1 species
UACAGAGGUCUCAAGCGUUUGUUCGGAUUCAUUGGGCGUAAAGGGUGCGUAGGCGGCGCGGUAAGUCGGGUGUGAAAUCUUUGGAGCUUAACUCCGAAACUGCAUUCGAUACUGCCGUGCUUGAGGACUGGAGAGGAGACUGGAAUUUACGGUGUAGCGGUGAAAUGCGUAGAUAUCGUAAGGAAGACCAGUGGCGAAGGCGGGUCUCUGGACAGUUUCCUGACGCUGAGGCACGAAGGCCCAGGGGAGCAAACGGGG